GCAGUGCGGGUUACUGGGGAGACAACUGCAGUCAGCCCUGUGGACAAGGAUGUAAAGGCUCAUGCAACAAGACGAAUAGGCAGUGUGAUUGUCAACCAGGCUGGAAACCUCCAAAGUGUGAAGGAUGCUUAAAGGAUUAUUGGGGUGCGAACUGUACACAUGAGUGUAGUAAGACAUGUACUGGAACAGACCAGGAAGGCUACUGCGAUAAUACCACUGGUCAAUGUUUAAAAGGUUGCAGUGCGGGUUACUGGGGAGACAACUGCAGUCAG